GUCCGGCCUUCUCUGUCUUUGAGCGUGGGGGCCCCGGCUAGGCGCAGGUAUCUGAGGGUUCCCGGGGGCGGACACAAACUUGCUCGGGAGAGGUUGGCACCUAGGUGUCGCGGUUCCUAAGCCCACCAAAGGGACUGAGUCUCAGAGCGUAACGUCAGACCCAGUUUGCCUUCUGGGGAAAGCUGGCCCAAGUGAGUCACCCAAUCCAUCCAUCGUGCCCGAGGGAUUACUACCAGAGUGGAGAAGUGUCAGGGCCAGGACCUGGAAGUUUCAUCUCUCCGGUACUCUAGGUACUUCAAAUAAGGCAUUGCUAAAUCCUAGGAUUUAGACUUUAAUUUCUUGCUGUUAUGUCCGGGGUUGGCGACGUUGAAUGGGUGGGACCUUCAUCAUUUAUGUGUAGUGUUACUCAACUCCUGUUUUCCUUUAGCCCACGAGAAGUCAGGUUGGUCUAACCGACCUAAACCUUGGACAGGUACUUGGUGCCUUCAUAGUCUUCUUUGAAAGGCAGAUAGAAGUGCAAUAAUUGCUUGGCUUUCACACCGUCUUUGGACAAGGCUCUCCAUAACAGGAAAGAUCUGCUCGUGUUGUCUGAGCUCAGGACCCAAAUCAGCUACUUUGAGGAGAGAACUUGACCAUUCCCCCUCAGAAUUCUUCCAUUCAUGUCUCUCUAAGGGAGGAGUGACUUAUGUAAUUGGCAGACGGUGAGGGAAGAUGGCGUCUUUCCCAUUUAUAUCUAGUCCCUGCACUCGUCUUCCGGAUUCCUGGCUGCACCCUCUCAGGAACACCGUGCUGUAGAUUAUGACCUCGCUUUCUCCCACUUGAAACCACUCUUCUUUUGCUGUUGUAACAGUAGCAUUAAAAUAUAAACAAAAAUCAUCUAUGCUAAGAAAA
rnacentral:sRNA from 1 species